rnacentral:rRNA from 1 species
AUUGAACGCUGGCGGCAUGCCUUACACAUGCAAGUCGAACGGCAGCACGGGUGCUUGCACCUGGUGGCGAGUGGCGAACGGGUGAGUAAUACAUCGGAACGUACCUUAUCGUGGGGGAUAACGCAGCGAAAGCCGUGCUAAUACCGCAUACGCCCUGAGGGGGAAAGCGGGGGAUCGCAAGACCUCGCGCGAUUAGAGCGGCCGAUGCCUGAUUAGCUAGUUGGUGGGGUAAAAGCCCACCAAGGCGACGAUCAGUAGCUGGUCUGAGAGGACGAUCAGCCACACUGGGACUGAGACACGGCCCAGACUCCUACGGGAGGCAGCAGUGGGGAAUUUUGGACAAUGGGGGCAACCCUGAUCCAGCAAUGCCGCGUGAGUGAAGAAGGCCUUCGGGUUGUAAAGCUCUUUUGUCAGGGAAGAAACACCGGCUCUAACACAGUCCGGGAAUGACGGUACCCGAAGAAUAAGCACCGGCUAACUACGUGCCAGCCGCCGCUGUAA